GUUUAAUUNGAAGCAACGCGAAGAACCUUACCAANUCUUGACAUCNUNUGACCCCUCUAGAGAUAGAGUUUUCCCCUUCGGGGGACAGAGUGACAGGUGGUGCAUGGUUGUCGUCAGCUCGUGUCGUGAGAUGUUGGGUUAAGUCCCGCAACGAGCGCAACCCUUAAGCUUAGUUGCCAUCAUCAAGUUGGGCACUCUAAGUUGACUGCCGGUGACAAACCGGAGGAAGGUGGGGAUGACGUCAAAUCAUCAUGCCCCUUAUGAUUUGGGCUACACACGUGCUACAAUGGACAAUACAAAGGGUAGCGAAACCGCGAGGUCAAGCAAAUCCCAUAAAGUUGUUCUCAGUUCGGAUUGUAGUCUGCAACUCGACUAUAUGAAGCUGGAAUCGCUAGUAAUCGUAGAUCAGCAUGCUACGGUGAAUACGUUCCCGGGUCUUGUACACACCGCCCGUCACACCACGAGAGUUUGUAACACCCGAAGCCGGUGGAGUAACCAUUU
rnacentral:rRNA from 1 species